rnacentral:rRNA from 1 species
CCCUUAGACGUUCUGGGCCGCACGCGCGCUACACUGACCAGUGCAACAAGCAUCCGUCCUUGGCCGACAGGCUCGGGCAAUCUUUGAACGCUGGUCGUGAUGGGGAUAGACUUUUGCAAUUUUUGGUCUUCAACGAGGAAUUCCUAGUAAACGCAAGUCAUCAACUUGCAUUGAUUACGUCCCUGCCCUUUGUACACACCGCCCGUCGCACCUACCGAUUGAAUGGUCCGGUGAAGCCUCCGGAUUGGCGCGCACCUCGGUGCCGCCGAGAAGUUGGCUAAACCUUACCAUUUAGAGGAAGGUGAAGUCGUAAUA